rnacentral:lncRNA from 1 species
GUCAGGAAUGAUUAUUCACCCCAAAGAAUCAAAAUAAUAUUGAAUUACUGAAAUUCACAACCAAUUAUGGUACAACAAUUAAUAUUCUGGCACAAACAAAGGUCACAUAGCCCAGUUUAAGAUGGCAUCCCAUUCAUAGCUCACAAUAUAUACCCAUUACACAAACCUCCAUGUUCACCAGAUUCGCGUAAUUACCAAAAGCUCAACUUAACACUAGUUAUUAGCCAGACCAAAAGACAUACUAGAGUCCCAAAUUUUCAUCAGUAGUAGCGAUUGACAAAUAAAAGGGUCCGUGCAUAUAGUUACCAAUACAAGCACUAAUUAUAACUAUGGCAUUCCUAAAUGAUUUUCAGGUGUUGGACCAGAACCAUGAUCAUCCAUUUGAGUAGCAGCAUCAACAUGCCUUUCAUCAUGUGAAGAAUCUGUCAUUGGAGUACCACCAUCCUCUUGGGCCUGGGGUGUUUCAUUCAUCUGCAAAGUGUUAAUGCAACAGAAUUCAGCAUAGUGAAGUAAAACAGCGAACACACACUAAAGCAGUGCACAUUUUACAAGUAUUAGAACAGGCUAUUAAUAAAGCAGGAGCAACUGAUUGCCAUAGAUUGAUUUUCCUAAUCUUCACUACAUGCAAUUGUAUUAGGUGAUAUAUUCUGUUUAUCCCAUCUGUUUUGUGAAAUAGGAAAAAGAAAAGAGUAUUCUCACUUUAUUGUCUAUCCCAUAUGCAGGGCUUUGGCACGCAUAUGACAGAUAAUACACUAAUUUAACCUGACUAGCCAGCACAAAUGGAUCAAAGUUUGCCAUUCUUGAGCUAUGCAUGACCUCUACCAACCCUAUAUUGUCUGUACGCUUAGUACCCUCAGAAGUUGGAUCAAACCAGCGACAUUUGAAUAUAGCCAACUCAAGUUCAAUAGUGCCCUCCCAUGAGAUCUGUAGAAUGUCCUCGAUAAUACUAAAAUACUCAACGGGAUUAUCAUCCUCAUCAAAGCUCGUGACACAAACUCCUAUAUUACAUGAACC